UAGGGAGCAAGCGUUAUCCGGAAUUAUUGGGUGUAAAGGGUGCGUAGACGGGAUAACAAGUUAGUUGUGAAAACCCUCGGCUCAACUGAGGACUUGCAACUAAAACUAUUAUUCUUGAGUGCAGGAGGGGAAAGUGGAAUUCCUAGUGUAGCGGUGAAAUGCGUAGAUAUUAGGAAGAACACCAGUGGCGAAGGCGACUUUCUGGACUGUAACUGACGUUGAGGCACGAAAGUGUGGGGAGCAAA
rnacentral:rRNA from 1 species